GGCUCUCACAAAAUUCUCUCUCGGUGCGACUCUGCGAGUUGCUCGUCUAUUUAGACUGAUUGUACUCUCUUCUGAGACAUCUCCAAAUCUCUUAGAUCUAUCCUUAUCCGGUGACGCUUCUGUAAAUCUUUCUCUUUCUGAUUCUAUUCAACCAAUUCGAUAUUCUCUUUUAUUCUAUAUCCAUGACUACGGUACUGGAAUCGAUGACUAUUCCUCGUUGCUCCGGCUUCCUUUCAACCCUUUCGCCGUCACCGACGGUUCCAUCGGUUUCGUCUACUUCUAGCAGUCCUAAAGUCGGUAUUCUGCCGGAAUUUAAAGGCUUGAGGAUUCAAUCGCGUCCUCUGAGGAGCACGUCAGCCUCGGUAAGCACGACGAGUGGGGGGAUUACACGAUGCAGAGGAAGAGUCGUCUGCGAGGCUCAGAACACAAUUCUACACGUUAUGGGUCCUUCAGAUGAAGCUAAUAUUGUUUGAGCGCGAAGGAGCUUGUGUUUUGGUUAUAAACUGAAAACAGUUCAGAGAUCAGAACAACACAGACAAGGAAGUGAGAAAAUAUGGACAUGAAGACUCUAAAAUAGCAGGGCAUAAACUAUUAAUCAUUUUUGUCACCCUGGACAAGCUUUUGAGUGCCUGCCGUGACAGAUUCAACGUGGCAGCCACUUAUCCAUGAAACUGACCAAGCUGUGUUGGUUGAGUUUUGGGCGCCGUGGUGUGGGCCAUGCCGCAUGAUCCACCCCAUAAUAGGUGAGAUAUCAAAGCAAUAUGCUGGGAGAUUGAAAUGCUUUCAAUUGAACACCGACGAGUGCCAUUCACUUGCAACUCAAUAUGGGAUCCGAAGCAUCCCAACCAUCAUGAUCUUCAAGAAUGGGGAGAAGAAAGACAUGAUUAUUGGUGUUGUGCCCAAAAGUUCUCUGAUUGCUAGCAUCGAGAAAUUCUUGUAGAGGUUGGUAAAUAAAUUGGCAAGAAACUAGUGCUUCUAGUUGUUUGAUGACACUACUAAGGCUUUAGGCUUUUAUGUUGAGAAUCUAGUUUCCAUGCUGCCAAAAUGAAUAUAAUAGCGUGAGGUAUGUGGUUAUAGAGGCUGCUGUAUGUUUUGUUCUCUUGUACAAGACAUUUCUCCUCAUUUGUUUCCUUACAAAUUUCAGAAGAUGCAUUUCUUUGGAGAUUUUUUAAAGGUUAAUCUUCUUUUGUAUUCUUUACUGACUCUACCCGUGGAUGAGUAAGCAAACAUGAACUCAAAUUCAACAG